GCGGAUGUUGUAAAGGUCUCCUAAAUUCUAAAAUGCCACCCAACAUGGGAUCGUCUACACCAAUAAAUAAACUGUCGCCAGAAGAUGAGUAAGCGGUUCCGGCGAUUUCUCCAAAAAAGUCAAUAACUUGGGAUGUAUUAAAUAAUUUAGUAUCAAAAAGUUGAACAAAAUCGGCUUGUUCCGUGACAGCUAAGCUUUCACCUAAUGGAGAAAAGCACAAAUUCGUCACAGCACUCAUUUGGCUACCUAGAUUUCGAAACGACUUACCAAGGGCACGUAUGUCCCAAACUUUAGCCGUUGUAUCUUGUCCUCCAGUAGCCAAAAUAUUUCCAUUUGGAUGCCACGAACCAGUAAGUACAGAGUCGGAAUGGGGAAGUUUGGCUGAAACGGAAUUUGAUCUAAUAUCUAUUAACAUGGCGUCUUUCGAAUCCGUGCAUACAAGCGCUAAUGGAGUUUCAUCAAAAAGUUGGACGCAGUUAACAGCAUUUGAACACCUGUAAACAAGAAUGGGGCUAGUACGCUGGACAUCUUCCACAUAAACAGCACCAUCAUUACAGCCAAGGAUGAAUUUUUUUUCGGAAAAAAGUUGAAUAUGAUUAAUCGAAUCAUCUGAAAGCUUACGAGUACUAAAACUUCCGUUUUUAAAAUUGAAAAUACAAUAUUGUCCAUACAAUGUUCCCAGACAUCCUACGGCAUUUGUAGUAUCCAAACAUGAUAUCGCUUUUUUCUGAAGGAUAUUAUUCUUAAGGUCAAUGAUUUGAACAGAAUUAUCAUGCAAUGUGUUUUCCAUUCUGAUGCUGUUAUUGCUCACAUAAAUGACAGAAUGCUCACCAACCACCUUUACGCUUUUGCAAAGAUGGUGAUGAUUCCGCAAGCAAUUAGGAUUUUUCAAAAAUCUUUGAAAUUCAUAAAACGAGUCUUCAGCGGCGACUUGUACAGUAUCUAGCGAUAGCUCUUCGGGUGACCAGUCUGAAUGAUUGCAAGACAGGCUAUAAGUGUGUAAUCGAUAAAGACGAAAGUUUUUCCGUUUACCAAUUGCUUUAUUUCCCCAGGGAAUUCCUUGAAAAUCCACUGUCCCACAAUUAUCGGUGCUUUUUGGGUUCAAUUCAAAAUUUGAUGCAGUGGGGAAUCCAUAGUGGUCUAACUGAAUUAAAUUCCGGUUUCCUGUAUACCAAGAAGUGUAAAAAUAAUCAUCUAGAUAAUCUUGAAGUAUAGCUCCACUUUCAGCUAGUUUUAGCAUUAGCUUUCAGAGCAACCAACGGACUGCACGUUUAAUUUACUUACGAAGCAAAUACUGGUCUAUAAAUUCUCCAUUGGACAUAUAGAAAUAUUUAAUUUAAAAUAAAUAUUAUCUGUAUGGCUGUAGAACAAAAAGGAAAUCAAAUAAAAAAUUAGAGAAGGACAAGAUCGCCUCAUGGAAGAAAUGAGAGAAGGACAAUCGACGUUGCAAGGACCAAUUGACUCUUUCGCUAACGAUUUUCGGCAAUUAAUCUUAAAGAUUUUAUACGUAUGAACCUAAGUGAAAACAAAAUAAGCAUAAAGAGGUCUUUAGCUCAAAGGUAUAAAAUUAUCAUAAACAGAGGCGUAACCAAAAUUGCAAAGCCAAUUUCGUUUGUCAAUGGACGAAAACCUCCAAUUGAUCUUUCUAAGUUUUAAAAAUCACCAAUGUUGAUCGUUUUGAAUUUAAACAAAUAUACAUACUUAAAGAGGUACGGCCAAAACAUUAACCAUUAUGCUGAAGCAUCACUGAAAAGAAAAGCUCGCUAAUUAUUUUGGAUUUAUUUAAGGUUUUUUGAAGAGAAUGAAAUCCUUCAGAAUAUAGAGAACGAAGUUGAUUCACGAAGCCGAAGGUGGACGUCUCCAUUGAGUAAUAUGUACGAGAAACACUUGCAAUCUAAAUCUACAUUGCAACUCUAUCAAUUUCCAAAACGAUCCUGAUUUAGGGUAGAUGUCUUGGUUUGCUAUCGGCUGGGCUCGUUUCUCUAUAGGAUUUUACUUUUCUGGUUUUACCAUUCUAUAUAAAAUUAAGACUAGGAUGUUAACAGACUUAAUUUAAUCCAUACGAUUAGUCUUUAAGUAAUGUUACCUCAAAUUAAAAGCAUUCCAUUCAAAAUUUAUAUUAUUGUUGC